UAUCCCGGAUGGCAGAAGGCAAAGUUAAAGCCUGAAUGGGAGUUGGAGCGCUAAACCCCAGAGAACUCAAAGCCUUCAGCACUGGCUGAGGCACAAACAGGUCUUUCCAUGCAGACACAUCAGCUUUGUGAUCGGUUGAGGUAGACAAAACUUCUGUUGUCCAGUUUUUUACUUUUUUAGAAGUAGUUACUGGUGGAGAAGCAUCCUGAACUUGAGAAGCCUUAUUUUUAACUACCUUUUCUUUCUCUUUCUUUUUAUUUUUCUUUGCAGCAUUUUUUGUGCUUGAAGUGCUCUCAGCUGUAUGCCCACAGACCUUAUCAUCUGCCCCUUGGACUAUUUCUUCACAUCUUUUCUCUUCAUCAACUGGCACGUCAACUUCUGUUGCGUUGGAAUCAUCACUUUUAUCUGCUCUGGUUUUCAAAUCUUUGCACUUCUUUUUCUUCUUGGGAGGGAUGACAGCUUCUUCCUCCUCCUCCUCCUCCUCGCUGCCUUCUUCUGAAAGAUCCUCAGACUUUCUCUUCUGCUUGUUUCCUUUCCCCACUUUGUCAGAACUUACUAGCUUGUACUCUGUAAGCUCCUCCAAGCACACUACAUCUUUAAACUGCUCAUCAACAAAUACAUUAGGGUCAAUUUCCACAGUUUUCCAUUUUCCCAAUACUUCAAUGCCCUUCCGCCUCAGUUUAGCAGAAGAUGUAAAUCUCCUUCCUCUUCUGAACUUCAUUUUUACCUAAGAAGACAGGUCACAGUGGUCAGUGCGCGACCCAGGCUGCCGUUAACGCCGCCACCCACCGCGUGCGCUCGCCGUGGGCGCCGCCAUUACAAAGUGACGUCACUGCGCAGCGCCCGCCGUGCGCCCCAGGGGACGGCGGGAGGAGGAGCGGAGUGCGCAUGCGCUCGUGGGUCCCGCGUGGGGCGGUAGUGCGGUGCCCGCGGCGUAGCGCAGGAGCUGCCUGCUCUCACACACGCACCUCUCCGUCCUUUACGAGCACACCGGUAGCUAUGGUGCUGUUUGCAUAAAUUAAGCAUAAUUUAAGCAUAAAGCAUGCAUUAGACGGGCUGGUGCAGGCCUGACAAGGGAAGGAUGGGAAAAAAUUGCCUUCAUGCAAACGACAUUUUUCUUUCAGAAUACGAUCAACAUCCCCAUAGAUGAUUUCUGUGUCGUUGUGUGCCUAAUAGGUCUCAUUCAAGAGAAAACGCACGAAGGGCCUCUUAAAUUUCAACUCUAAAAUCAGCAGCUAAGGUUGCAUGCCUUUAGCGCUUUCAGUAGGCACCUUGUCAUUCUGUUUCGCUCAUGUGUUACUGUGUUCUUCAUUAUUCCCUGUUUUGAGUAGCGCUGUGGUGAAGUAACGUGCUUUGGAGAGCAGUUGCCAGCAGCUGUAGAAGCAAACGUAAGGUCACAGCGUGGUUCGAAUGCUCUUUGCAGCUUGAGCUUGGUGAGGGGAGAGGGCAUCGUGCAUUGUUUGCUAUGAUAAUGGGACAUCUUAUUUUUGCUAAAAGAUUGGCAGAUACCCUGAGAGGCUUUUUUUUUAUAUGAGACAUGAGGAAGAGAGAAAAAAAAAAAAAGCACAUAUUUUGAGGUUGGAGAGACAAGGGUGUUAGAUUCGGGUGCAAUUACAGCAGCAAUUACAAUUAUUUCUUCUCUGUGGUAUCUGCAGGUGCUUCUUGGUUCUCUGAGAAGAUAGGAAAAUUGAAGGCUUUUCUUUUAAUUGGUUAAGGCCAAGGACAGAAAUAAGAACAUGAACUCUUUUGAAGGAGAGUUUCAGUUCCAGGUUAAUCCUCAUUAAUGCAGAUCUCCUAAUGCAUAACACAAGGAGUUGCUUCCAAUUCAUACACUCCUAAGAGCAAUUGAAAUGUGAUGCUGUGUCCUCAUGGUAUGUAGGAACUGAGUUAAAAUCAGUGAGAAUCUGCAAGUUCAGGAAGCAGGAUUUGAUAUAGUUAAACCUGCAAACCUUAUUUAUUUAUUGGUUUUAAACUGGGACAGGGGAAGCUUAGGUUAGAUAUUAGGUGGAAGUUUUUCACACAGAGGGUGGCGACACACUGGAACAGGUUGCCCAAGGAGGUUGUGGAUGCCCCAUCCCUGGAGGCAUUCAAGGCCAGGCUGGAUGUGGCUCUGGGCGGCCUGGUCUGGUGGUUGGCAACUCUGCACAUAACAGGGGGGUUGAAACUCAAUGAUCAUUGUGGUCCUUUUCAACCCAGGCCAUUCUAUGAUGAUUCUAUGAUUUAUAGUGAACUGGAGAUGCUGAUGACUGCU
rnacentral:lncRNA from 1 species